CUUUGAUGUACAUCAAAAGAAUCUCGCAGUCGUGUAACGGUAAAAUUUACUGGCUUUGAAGUCAGUUGUUGCUCCUCUGUAAUCUUCAAAGGACAGUUAUCAAGUCUGCAAUUAAUUGGCCAGGAUGUUUUUAACGUACAUGAGACCAAUCAAAUAGUUAGCCGCGUGCCUUCAAUUUGGCUAUGACAUAUUCCAGGGGGGCACAAAGCGAAAGUGAGCAUAACCACAGAAGUAUAGAGGAUGGUCACUUGGUCUAUUUUGUUUUUUCGCAUUUAGUGUGCUUUUAGACUGGUAGUAGUUUGAAUUGCUGGCAUUAUCAAAUUUAGUUUGGACUUCCAAAAAGGGAUCCAAGUCCAUGGUCAAAGUUGCACAUGUCGAUUGGAUAAGCCUGAACUUCCCCUUUGUUUGUUUUUUUGUCUGUGUGAUAAAAAUAUGACGGAGCAUAUGUUUAGGCAGUCACUUAUGUUGAAAAAAUUAGAGAAAAAGAGCUAACACCAAAAACAGUUUAUUGUUCAUUUUUCUGGUCUUUUCAUUAUCAUUUUGUGAGAUGUUGAAAGGACAUUGUUUUAAGUGAUGGAAGUUUCUAAGAUAGAUAAAUAGAAACAUUUCUGGUCUUGAAAAUAAAUUAACAUUAACAGGUAGAUCACUAUUGUCCUGUGAUGAAAAUAUGGCCGAUAUACACUUGGUGCAGGCUUAACGUUAAACAGUUCCAUUAUUAUAUCAAUUAAUCUUCAUCCCAUAUAUCAUGUAAUAUGUAUGAUAAAUUAUUAUAUGUAUGAAUUGUAGAGUGUGUGUGUAGAAAUGUGUUGUUAAUAACAUACCGUAUUCGCCGUAAUUAGCGCCCUCUCCCAUUCUUAGCAUGCCUCCCCUUUUUAUAGCACUUAUUGACAGGUAUAAGCCUCCCCUUUUCCCAAACACUUUCCAUUGUAGCCCUAUCUGGUUAACAGAAUAUAUAAUUUCAUACAUUAUAUCAGUCGCUACAUACAAUCUCGCAAUCUGACACGACUGUUUUCCAGUGUUUGAAAGAGAUAAAACCAUGAAUAAUUUUGGAUUACCUUAAAUUACCUUUACAGCAUUUUGAUAAUAUAUGUUUUGUUAUCUUAAUAAGUGCUCCUAUCAGCCAAUUUUUAUGUGUCGCAAUCUGACACGACUGUUUUUCCAGUGUUAUCUUAAUAAGUGCCCCUUUAUCCAAUUUUUCAUGUGUCCUUGGUGCUAAAUAUAGCAAAUACGGUGACAUUUUUUGACGUGUUCAGGACAAGUGUGAUUGUGGGAUGUCUGUCAGUGUGUUAGGUAGCAGAUUAAGUAUAGGACCAUUACAUAGAGGCUGCUGCUUGCUUUUCUGAAGUUACCUCCCUUGUUCACCAACCACAUUACUUAUUUACCAUGUAAUGGCCCUGACUCCUUAUUGUGUUGUUAGACCAUUAAAACCAUAAACAAAUCCUAUUAUCGCAAGAGGAACAGGAAACAUCGGACAAGAUGAACUUAAGCAUCCUGACAAGCUUCACACUAAGGACUUUUUCAGGGUUACAAUUGAAAUGACGUCAUAAAAACGAAUAUUGACCGCUGUUUCUAAAAAAUAGUAACACUUUAUAGUUAACUCAUUCACCCCUAAAUACACAUUUGAACUUUUCCAAUUCAAACGAUGGAAUAGUUCAUUAUGAAAUUUCAGGGGUGACUGAGUUAAUACUACACUUACCGACCUCCACAUGAUUAUCAUCCAAACAAUUAGUAUGUAGGGAAAACGUAUAUCAUCUAAUAUAUAUAUAAAUAUUUACUAGCCUUUAAUAAAUAUGAUAAUCAGAGGUCAGCACGAAAGGUCAAUGUGGUCUAUGUAUUUGUCGGAAUAGGGCAAAGCGAUACUUACUACCAAAGUAUGGAUACCCUUAUAGAAAUGAAUAUAGAAUUUUGUAGGUUUUCUUCAAUAUAAAGUACAUAACUAGUUACUAGAGCUCUCGUGAUUUAUCGCUGAAAACAUUGUUGAAUCUCGUAAUACUUUGAGUAAACAACAACAAGAAAAUGGUGUACAGAUCGAUCAUUAAAACUGUGAGGUUUUGAGGACUUUCCCUUAUAAAUUUGUGUCCCACGCUGUGAGACUUUAUCAGAGGUGAAAAUCCGUGAGAUUUUGCCUCACACCGUGAAAUCUGGCAUGUUUAAUAGCAAUAUUAGAACAUGAAAAGUUAUUUAUUAAGUUAUCUUUGUAAUUUAUAUAUAAUUGACAAAUUAUGGAAACACUGUAUGUAUAUAUGAUUGUUCACCUGACUGUGUAUGUUAGAUUAUAAGGGAUAUGUGUUAUAAAACUUGUGUGUCAUAAUUUGUACAUUUGUGAUAUAAUGCCCCCAUUGUCUUGAAGAAAAAGGCAGAGGCAAAAGUGAGAUCCACGUAUUUCUUUUUAAGCUUGAAUGUUGCAGUACGAAACCAUUCCAUACCUGUUUUAUAUUAAUUCUCUCUUUUGAAAAAGAGGCUUCUAUAAUAUUAAUGUAUAUACCGUAAAUUUGCGAGUAUAGUGCGCAGGUACAUUAUUGGGGUCAGAUUUGAAGAGAAAAAUAUAUUGGGGGGGGAAAAAAAUGAAAAAAAAAAUGAAAGAAAAAUUGUGUAUUAAAUAAUGGUACAUAUGUUACAUGAAAACAUAAGGAAAAUAAUGAAGGGUGAACUUGAGAAUUGCUUUUCUUCAAGAGAUUGGGUGUAUGUGCGUUUAUAGGGCCGGCCUUAACGGGAUAACCGGUUGGUUUGUGUACAGUUGUGGGAUCAUUGUUGUGAUUAACAGUGGUAAUAUAACCUUAUUUUUAUAUACGGGAGGUGUAUUAUGAUUGCUGUUUUUGAAUGCUAGUGCUAAAGUAUAUUCACAGGUACUUUAACGAUGUGGACUUCGACGGAUAAUGGUACACUUAUUGUCUAGGGAGACAACAAUAGACUAAUAAGGGGCCGAGUGGUUAAGGCAUCUGACCCUUUAACCCUUUCACCCCUGUGUAACUUUAUUAAUCUCUUCCAUGCAUUGAUCUGGAUGAGUCCAUUAUGGUCUACAGUGGUGAAAGGGUUAAGAUCACUAGCCCUCCACGUGGGGCAGUUGCCAGGUACUGGCUGUAGGUCGGUGGUUUUUCUCUGGUACUUUGGCUUAGCUUUACUCACCAACAAAACCUGGCAUGUCCUUAAAUGACCAUAGCUGUUAAUAGGACAUAAAAUACAAACACACCAAACCAAUGGACUUGAAGGAUUCCUGGCUCACUGUAGGCGAAAAACUAGAGAAUUUCCACUGUUGUUAAUUUUGUUUUGGAAAUUUGGUCGGGGAACUAGAUUGUUCAGUUGGUUGAGCAACCAUAUUGUGGUUAGGUGUUUGGGGUUCGAAUAUCUGUUUGGCCUCAUUUUAUUUUUACUCUCAAAACACUUACGGUGGGUUUUUUUUAAAUUAAUUUCAGCAAUUGUUUUUUCUUCAUAAAACUGCUGCAUGCCUUUGUUAAAACUAUUGUCAUGCCUUUGAAAACAGUUUCCAGUUCAUAGUUUCGUUUUCUGCCAGUAAUACAGGGAUCCUUCAUGAAUGGAAAAUAUCAAAAUUAGAUAUUUAGUUUCCUAACACAAGAGUACAUUGAAUUUCUUGAAUGAAUAUCGUUCAGAUCCUUUGAGGAGAACCUGUGAUAUACAUGAAUAUGUGGUGUGUCUGAUUUAUAUAACGCCUGGUGUGACCAGUGCAGACUGAUUGUUUGACGAGUGAGAUGUUUGUGAACGGAUUUUGAACCGUUAGUUAUUUUUUUUUAUUUAAUUUUAUUCAAUAAAUUGACACAAUUCUUA